rnacentral:lncRNA from 1 species
AAACUAACAGACAGAGCAAGGGCUGGGAAGAGGGAAGAGGACUUCACAUUAAUUAAUGAACACUGAGAGCCCACAGCUGCUCUGUUCAGACAACAAGCCACAGAUCUGCUUCAAAGAGUCGUGUGGCUCUUUGUCCUGCACACUUCAUUCAUGCAGCCACAUCUCGAGUUGUGUGAUUUGGUUUCAUCCAGGUGGAAGCGUGAAUCACUUCACAACAGGUAAGGGCAGCCACCUUCACUGGACCACGGUUGCUCGACUGGAGGGCUGUCUGUUUAUCACUGGCUUUUUGAAAAAGACCCUUGAUAUACCCUAACACUUCACGAAGUUUCAAGAAAUAUUCCAAUCAGACUCAAGAAAGCUUGGUUAACAUGAAGGUGGGCAAUUGUGGACUCCCGGAUAUUGCUGAACUAUGACUCCCAUUACCCCUGGCUAGCAUAACCACAAUGAGACAUGAAUGAAAACUGCAGACAUAAAGUUGGCCUCCAGUGAUCAGGCUUUCAAACUUACCUCCCAGAACUGGCCUACCUCUUCCAUAUGAACUGGCCUGCAAAGGAACCCCUGUACCACUACCCCCCCUCUCUCUCACACACACACACACACAAGCACUGCAAAGGAUUUUGGGUCCUCAGUUCACACAGGGCAGUGGCCACUCUGUUUGGCUCAAAGUGACCAUGCAGCGGCUUGCUAAAGGACCUCCUAAAAGGUACCCAAUGCUUAUGUCUGGUUCUACCAUUAGGCAGACCAAGGAAGCCACCUCAGACAAGAGAAACUGUGAGGUAUGCAGUCAUGGUAAAGAACUGGAGGACCAAAAACAAC